AUCCCAUGAUGAGGAAACUUACAAAAAAAUUCCUUGAAUCUUUCCAACGCCUCAUAUGAGGUCUCCAAUUGUUGAAAAGUAGUUAUCUCAUUUUGCAACU
rfam:Gossypium raimondii Chr13_contig_933, whole genome shotgun sequence.